rnacentral:rRNA from 1 species
AACGAACGUUAGCGGCGCGCCUAACACAUGCAAGUCGCACGAGAAAGGGCUUCGGCCCCGGUAAAGUGGCGCACGGGUGAGUAACACGUGGGUAACCUGCCCUCGAGCGGGGGAUAACAUUCCGAAAGGAGUGCUAAUACCGCAUAAGACCACGAUCUCGAAAGAGGACGAGGUAAAAGCUGGCCUCUGUAUACAAGCUAGCACUUGAGGAUGGGCCCGCGGGGCAUCAGGUAGUUGGGGAGGUAACGGCUCACCAAGCCGAAGACGCGUAGCUGGUCUGAGAGGAUGAUCAGCCACACUGGAACUGAGACACGGUCCAGACUCCUACGGGAGGCAGCAGUGGGGAAUCUUGCGCAAUGGGCGAAAGCCUGACGCAGCGACGCCGCGUGAGUGAUGAAGGCCUUCGGGUUGUAAAGCUCUGUGGGGCGAGACGAAUAAGUGCAGCCUAAUACGCUGCAUGAUGACGGUAUCGCCUUAGCAAGCACCGGCUAACUCUGUGCCAGCCGCCGCUGUAAGAC